GAUGAACGCUGGCGGCGUGCCUAAUACAUGCAAGUCGAGCGAACAGACCAGCAUCUUGCUGUUCUUAGGUUAGCCGCGGACGGGUAAGUAACACGUGGAUAACCUAUCUAUAAGACUGAGAUAACUUCGGGAACCCGGAGCUAAUAUCGGAUAAUAUAUUGAACCGCAUGGUUCAAUAUUGAGAGGCGGACUUUCUGUCACUGAUAGGUGGAUCUGCGCCGCAGUACCUUGUUGGUAAUGGAACGGUUUACCACUGCAACGAUGCCUAGCCGACGCCAGAGGGUGAUCGGCCACACUGGAACUGGGACAGGGUCACGACUCCUACGGGAGGCAGCAGUAGGGAUUCGUACGCAAUGGGCGAAAGCCUGACGGAGCAACGCCGAGUGAGUGAUGAAGGUCUUCGGAUCGUAAAACUCUGUUAUUAGGGAAGAACAAAUGUGUAAGUAACUAUGCACGUCUUGACGGUACCUAAUCAGAAAGCCCCGGCUAACUACGUG
rnacentral:rRNA from 1 species